AAUGUCCUGGACAUUUAGGGAACAUUCGGUGAACAUCUGUUUAAAUUAUUCCUGGAAUGUUACCAUAAGACAUUCUGUGAACAUACUACCAAUGUUCCUAUAUUUUAAGUUGCGAAAUAAUACAUACGUGUAAGAGAUACAACAUUACUUAUAACAUACCAGACAAACUAAGUGACAUUUUAGGCCUACAGUGCAAUAAUAUGUCAAAUUUAAAGAGUUUCCCAAGUUCAAUUAAUACAAUAUUAUAAACAUACAAAUGUAAUAAAAAUUAUUGUUCGCGAAUAUUCAAUUUGGAAUGCGAUUUUGUUAAUAAAAAAAAUACUUAUAACUUAUGCAAAACCCAAGAGAGGCAUUUAUAUUUAUUUCUUUUGCGUUCAUUUUCAAAUUCGCCGUGCAUAUAUUUUUGUGCAUGGCGCUUGAGAGGGCAUCACGUGACUAAAAACGACCAACCAACGACCUCGCUUCGGCCAUCUUGGCAUCUUCAUCUUGGCGACUGGCGACCUUGCCCGGCCUUGCCUUGCCGUGGAUUGUUUGUAUUAUUUUGUGCUUUUUAAGAAUAUUUUUUUAAUUCGGAUACUUUUAUAAUAGCUUUAAUAGUAUUAUUAACAUUGUGCAUAAAAUGGUGUCCUGUUUUUAACGCAGUUGGAGUAGCAGAAACAAAUGUAGAUAAAAAAAUCUGCAGGAAUAACGUUUCAAUUAUGACAAAAGCUCAAAACAAAUGACUAUGAAUGAACAGCCCUAUUAAAAGCUUUCCAGAAGAUCCUGCGAAGAAGACAUGAAGUAUAGAUCAGAUUUGUUAAUAGAGGAGUAUGUUCAAAACACUUUUUAGAAAAAGAUAUUGACAGAACUUCACUUUCAUCUGUUCGUUUGAGAGACUGUGCUGUUCCAAUAGCUUAUGUCACACAGAAUCAGCUGAGAGAAGUGGUCUACAAAAAACCAGAAAGGAAACAGAAUAUGUGGCUACGAAAAGCAAAAGAAAGGUUUACAAAGCAAAUGUGACACAUUUUUUUAUAAUAUUUAGGAAUGUCAGCAAAUUACAUUAAAAAAUGUAUGUAAAGAUUUUUUGCAAUAAAAAUGUUUAUAUUUA